GAUGAACGCUGGCGGCGCGCCUAAUACACGCAAGUCGAGCGAACAGACGAGGAGCUUGCUCCUCUGACGUUAGCGGCGGACGGGUGAGUAACACGUGGAUAACCUACCUAUAAGACUGGGAUAACUUCGGGAAACCGGAGCUAAUACCGGAUAAUAUAUUGAACCGCAUGGUUCAAUAGUGAAAGACGGUUUUGCUGUCACUUAUAGAUGGAUCCGCGCCGCAUUAGCUAGUUGGUAAGGUAACGGCUUACCAAGGCAACGAUGCGUAGCCGACCUGAGAGGGUGAUCGGCCACACUGGAACUGAGACACGGUCCAGACUCCUACGGGAGGCAGCAGUAGGGAAUCUUCCGCAAUGGGCGAAAGCCUGACGGAGCAACGCCGCGUGAGUGAUGAAGGUCUUCGGAUCGUAAAACUCUGUUAUUAGGGAAGAACAAAUGUGUAAGUAACUAUGCACGUCUUGACGGUACCUAAUCAGAAAGCCACGGCUAACUACGUG
rnacentral:rRNA from 1 species